GCAAAACAUGCUUGUCUUCUACUUGUUUUUUAUUUAAUGGAUUAAUGAAACAAACGCUUUUCAUUAUCCCAUAAAAUGAUGAAUUUCAUAUUUUUUUGUUAUAAUUCUUUUCAUUAGAAGAGGCGCUUCAAUAUUCAAAUUCAAGUUUUUUUUUCCUUCUUCCAUGGAGCCUCAGCCUCUGGAGAAGAUUGCGUUAAUUCAAAGUUUUGGUAAAAUGGUUGCAUUCAUUAAUUCAUAGUUUU
rnacentral:misc_RNA from 1 species